rnacentral:rRNA from 1 species
AAAUUGACGGGGGCCCGCACAAGCAGCGGAGCAUGUGGUUUAAUUCGAAGCAACGCGAAGAACCUUACCUAGACUUGACAUCUCCUGAAUUACCCGUAACUGGGGAAGCUCUUCGGAGCAGGAAGACAGGUGGUGCAUGGUUGUCGUCAGCUCGUGUCGUGAGAUGUUGGGUUAAGUCCCGCAACGAGCGCAACCCUUAUCGUUAGUUGCUACCAUUAAGUUGAGCACUCUAGCGAGACUGCCCGGGUUAACCGGGAGGAAGGUGGGGAUGACGUCAAAUCAUCAUGCCCCUUAUGUCUAGGGCUACACACGUGCUACAAUGGUGAGGACAAAGAGACGCAAGACCGCGAGGUGGAGCAAAUCUCACAAACCUCAUCCCAGUUCGGAUUGCAGGCUGAAACUCGCCUGCAUGAAGCCGGAGUUGCUAGUAAUCGCGAAUCAGCAUGUCGCGGUGAAUACGUUCCCGGGCCUU